GAUGAACGCUGGCGGCGUGCCUAAUACAUGCAAGUCGAGCGAACGGACGAGAAGCUUGCUUUUCUGAUGUUAGCGGCGGGCGGGUGAGUAACACGUGGAUAACCUACCUAUAAGACUGGGAUAACUUCGGGACACCGGCGCUAAUACCGGAUAAUAUUUUGAACCGCAUGGUUCAAAAGUGAAAGACGGUCUUGCUGUCACUUCUAGAUGGAUCCGCGCUGCAUUAGCUAGUUGGUAAGGUAACGGCUUACCAAGGCAACGAUGCAUAGCCGACCUGAGAGGGGGAUCGGCCACAUGGGAGCGGAGCCACGGUCCAGACGACUACGGGAGGCAGCAGUAGGGAAUGGUCGGCAAUGGGCGAAAGUCUGACGGAGCAACGCCGCGUGAGUGGUGGAGGUCUUCGGAUCGUAAAACCCUGUUAUGAGGUAAAAACAUAUGUGGAAGUAACUGUGCACAUAUUGACGGUACCGAAUCAGAAAGCCACGGCUAACUACGUG
rnacentral:rRNA from 1 species